UGACCGAGGCCACCCAGCUACUUGGUAUUCUGGGGAGGAAGGCAGCAGGAGGCAGAAUCCUCAGCUGAACCUGCUUGGCCACUCUGAGGCUGCAGGGCGCUUGGCAAAAGGGCCAGGAAGUGAAAUAACAAAGUUUCCAAAGGCCUACACUCAAGGUGGCCUGGGCCAUGCAGUGGCCUCCGCCAUCCCCACUCGGUGGAGAAUCUCUGGGGACCAGAAAAGGGAGAAAGCUGCUGUGCUGAGGUCAGGAGUCAGCCUAUAAGAAGCCAGCUCGAGGGGUAGAGGACGGGGCACCUCACCAGCACCACCAGCAGCUUGCUGAACACUGCCCCCUCACAGUGCAAAUGACUGAUGACAGCCCAGGAAGUGCCCAGCCUCAAGCUUCACUACAGGCUGAUCCAGGGCUCUGGCUGCCCCCACGUGAUUCUGCGGCCACUGCCCGACUCCACGGAUGCUGACGUCAGCAAAACCACGUGGAGAAGGGUCUUCUGCAGCUGGACGCUGCCCAGGCGUGUGGUGGGAAGCCAGCAGGUAGCCUCUGGCCUCAGACCUACAUCCAGACAAGCUCAUGAUGAUUCCUGGGAGAAGCUGCCCCAGAAAAAGAAAGGAGCUUUCUGAGAAGGAAACAAGUGACCCAAGAUGCCUCCUUUAACCAAGAAGAGCCAGGGAGUGACACACAGUCCUGGGUUCUAGAACCACCAUUGGACUGAAACAAGUGUCCCAACGAGGAGCACAAAGGACACCACCUUAAGACUUAGAGGAGGUACGUACUUAAUGGUGUUAAGUAAAAACCACGGGGCUGCAGGUGGAGCAUUGCAAAAUGGAAAAAAUUACAGAAAGCCAUUGUUUUGGUCUAGGCUUCUGCACUGGCCCCAGCAGACCAGCUAAAACUGAAAAUGGAGUCCCUCAGGCUAAAUGCCACAUCACCACCCUGAAGCUAAGCUGUUUAUCUGACCUGUUGAAACUAAGCUCUUUAUCUGACCUUUGAGAAAUCAGGAUUAGAGAGAUAAUAGCCAAAUUUCCCAAACAAGCUGGUUUCGUGAUGGGAUGGCGUGAUAGUGAAGUUCCCUCUGCUUUAAUCUUCGCAGAAAAGAAGUCACCUGAAAUAACCUGAUGUUAUUUACCAACGGCCGUUUUUCCUCUUCUGCCCCCUUUACUUUUGUUUCUUCCUUUCUUUCGUCUUUGUCUGUCUAUAAAAUUCACCUCUUCUGCUCAGACCAUGGGGAUCCUUUUCUAUUUUGUGGAAAGAAGCACUGCCAGGAUCCUGCAGUGGGAAAUAAAGGUUCACUUGUGCCGUCAAGCGAACCUUUGCCAUUUUGCCUUUGGUGAUGGAAACGUCUUUCUUAACUCUGAAGCCCCUUUGGGUGGGACUCCAGCCCCCACUUUCCAAGAACGAAGCGGCCUUGCUCUGCGAGCAGCUGAGAAGCUUUGCGGAGACCAUCUCUGUGGAGCACAUGAUUUGAAACCAUAGCUAAGAUGAUGUACUGAAUUGGUAUGAGUCAGAAAUCAAUUAAGACUGAGCAAGCAAUGUGGUUUUAUUUUCCUGUAUCACUAGGCCUCAUUCUUCUGGGCUCUAACAGCUAAUCUCAGUCACACUGGAGUGUCCCUCCCCUCUCUGUGGUUCUGGAGAGUCCCAGGAGCAAUGUGGUUGUGGUGGGAUGACAGGGUGUUGAGCUUCUGGGAAGGGGGACAUCUCGUCCUCACUGUCAUCUUCUCUCACCAAUGCUUACGUGUUGUCAGCUUGUGGUAUCAACAGAAACUUCCCCUGUCCCUCGUAACCUGUGGCCAAGCACAGCCUAUCCACAAGCCUCUCGUGCUGUCCACACAGUCGUCCACUAGCCCUCUCCUGCAUGUGGCCCAUUGUUGCUCAAGGACACCAUUCAGUGGCUCCUGUCUUAUGCUAGGGACAGAGGUAGGCAAAGAUCCAGUCUUCCUGGUCACUUCAUGUCCCCUUGUCAUUUUGAAAGGGUAAAGUUUCUAAGCUGGAAGGCUUGAAUUAAAAUGUAAAAGAUUA